GCUUCCUUGGCUCAGUUGGUUAGAGCGCCGGUCUCAUAAGCAGUUAUGAGUGAUCAAUUCGAUCAUCUAAUCCGGAGAUCACCAGUUCGACCCUGGUAGGGAGCA
rnacentral:tRNA from 1 species